ACACAUACAUAAAGCUCUCUAGUCAUGUCUCCCUGCCACACACAAACUUGACAUGUGCCCUCUAACAUUCCGGUAGGCUAGUCGCCCUAUAUCUUUGACUUGCACACAGACACAAUUUCGAUGGCUCUCUUCAUCGAUCUCGCACCCACCCACUUGAUCCUCUCUUCGACUCUAUCGAUAGCUAUGUCCCCUCCCUCUCUUAUCGUGGAUUGCCCGACCCUCUAUGUAUGAUAUGGAUAGGCCUCCAUUUCACACACAUUGCAUGCAAAAUUUUGUUUGAGAUGCCAUCGACACAUAUUCCCACAAAUAAUUCAUGAAAUAAACCCCCACCCCACCCCCACCCCCACCACAAAACAAAAAACCCUCACGAAUGUUGUUUGUAUCUCACACACACACCCACGUAGGUGGGGGACAUGCACGAAGAGAAGAGGUGCAUGCACGGUGCACGUGCUCCCCUCUCUUUCCCAACCACACCCGCGCGGGUACACGGUGGAGCUCAUUUCUUUAUGAAAAAGGCAGCCCACGUGGUAAUUUGGCACGUGUACUGGUUGUCCACUUGGUGGAGGGAGGAUCGUCUACCAUAGGUGAACAAACAAAUUGCGACUUGAUGCGUUAUGUUAAAUUAAAAAAAGAGGCAAACCAUGUGGGGCCUACCUUAGAGGCAAGGCUCUAUACACUGGAGUACUUUUGAUGUGUCCCGUCAACUCAUAGAACAAGGAGAAGCUUUCUUAGUACGCCGUCUCCCCCGCCCACGGGCGCGGUGGCUCGCAGGAUGAGGUGAAGCUUGCUCCGCCUUAUGACCGCUCCCUCACCCAUGCGCGCGGUGGCUCGCCGGACGAGGAGAAAAAUUUACUACUCCCUCUGUUUACUCUUCGUCCCUACUACCUUGGUUAUAGAGAUUAUAUCAUAUUGUUUGGAAUAUAUAUGUCCUUUAGUAGAUUUCAAUAUGAAGUACUAGUACAUACUCCAAACACUGAUGUAUAUAGACGUAUUUUAGAGUGUUGAUUCACUCAUUUUGCUCCGUAUGUAGUAGCACUCUCCCUCGCCCCUCGACCCUCGCCCACGUGGUGGACGUGCAGCAAUUCAUUCGGUGUCAUAUAGCCAGAAUGAUAUAUAAUACACUACCAUUAUUGCUCGACUUCCCAAAGAGGCGAAGAGCCAAUCGCAAGGUUAAUAUUUUGGAGAUGCCAAGCACAAGGUCAUAAGAGAACGAGUAGUAGGUGCCGCGUCAUUUAUAAAUAACGUUUUUUUCUUCAGUGGCACGUUCGCAAUAUGAUAGGUUCAUAUGGAGAGAAAAUGAAACUGCUCCACUAUAUACAUAGUCAGGACGGGCCAGCCUACACGGUUGCUUGCUGGGGUUUCUCUCUUCACACUCUCUCGCACAAAACGACUGUGGCCACAUCUCUAACAUCCCGGCGGAUCACGUCCGCUUGGGGAAGGGGUGGAUUCUUAGUGUAGAUGCGGUGGCCGUCACCGACGGCGAAAACCCACUGCCGGCACGUCUCGAUCAGGGGUCCCCGCUGUUCUCUCUCACAAAGCCGGUGAGGUUGCCUUCAUCCCUUGCUCAAUGCCGUGACGUGGGCAGUUGCCGCCUCCCACCGACCUCCUCAAGGUUGAGCUACGUCCCUCAGGUACAACUCCCUCUACAGCCGGCUUGCACCACUGCUCCAGCUGCCCACAUCACUCCAUGUGGAUAUUUCUCUACUUCUUUGCCCCGCACAUACCUGAUACCUCUACUAGCUUCUACCUACUGUAUUUGUGAUUAGUUUAUGUCUCAUCAACUAGUCCCAGUAAUCUUAUUCUAAUCACGCUUCUUCAAUUUCUUUGCCACGGGGAUGCUCAUCUCGAUUUUGGUGAAACUGCACAAAAUGAUCUGGUGGCCAAAAGGUUGCAAACUUCAUUUAUUAGGAAGCUCCAACGUUGCCAGCAAAUUGAAGCCUGGUCAAGGUUCACGGUUCAAGGGCUAGGGACUGCAUGGAUCGUUUUUGUCUUUAGCUGCCUCUGUUCCAAAAUAAGUGUCAACUUUAGUAGUAGUACAACUUUGUACUAAAGUUUGCACAAAGUUGAGACACUUAUUUUGGAACGGAGGGAGUACAUAUUUUCUAUGAUCAGUCAAUCAUUGAGAUGCAAUAGCAUGCAUGUUAGUCUCCUUUGUAUUUGAUGAAAUGUUGCAACGGGCAACCUUGGACGCAAGAUACAUCUAAUAGGAGCUGGAAGCUUCAUAGCAUUGUACAAAUUUAUCUCGCUGAUAAAUUAUGGUACGUACUAUACUAGUACUUCCUCCGUUCCUAAAUAUAAGUCUUUGUAGAGAUUUCACCAUGAACCACAUGCGGAUGCAUAUAGAUUUAUUUUUAAGUGUAGAUUCAUUCAUUUUGUUUCGUAUGUAGUUCACCUAGUGGAAUCUCUACAAAGACUUAUCUACUAGUAAUAGCUAGCCCCCACUACUAGGAAUUCUCUAUCCUCUCCUUGAGCCACAUCAUCAAAAUUGAUGUAGCCAUUAGAUGAAGUAAAUCAGUCCAUAAUAGCCGUCUGAUCUAGACGUUAAAAGGCUCCGCACUAAGCCACAUGCAAGCAUGCAGAAAUACCGUGGCACAUGCAUAUGAGUCGGUUUUAAAUCACAUCAACAUGUCUGCAUGCAAGCAUGCACCGGUAGCAUGCAUGUAAGUGAGCUUUUAAGUCCCAUUAACAUGUCAAAAAGAAAAAUAUAAUCACAUUAUGUAGUAGGAGUUGGAUGAUCUUUUUUCCUUACGUGGGUUGAUAUAAAUGAUGAUGGGAGUUUAUUUAGUUUGGCUACCACAUUUGUCAUGCGGUUAUAGAGUUUUUUUUAGUUCUAUGAAAUCGAUAAUUUUGCGCAGAGAGAUAUACCACUGUUCCGUGGCAAAGCGCGGGGACUCAUCUAGUAAUAUUUAGGAAUGGAGGGAGUACUAUGUAAAGAGUUGGGUGUCGCACGGUGAUAGUGUGAGGUGGGCCAUGUAAACACUGAGCCUGCGUGUUUUCACUGCUCUUGCACUCCUCCGCUGUAAGAAUGGAGAAAAUUGUAAUCUACUAUCUCCUUUCGCCGAAAGCAUGGGACAUCCAGUAGUCCUACCACCUCAGUAAUAAAGACCAAUGAGCCGUCAAAUCACAUAGACCCAACAGUAAGUUGGACGGACGAAGCAACCAUCACCCUUGCGCCAGUGAGAGGUCGCGUCCGCUCCGUCCGGGCAUGAAUGCGGCACCAAUUCUUUGGAGCGGCGCUGACCGUUUUGGGCGGGGAGUGCGCGCGGGCGAUGGAGGGGCUUUGGGAGGGCCAGGCUGGUCAGGUGCGGGCGUGGCAGCUGUCCGCAUGUCCCUACCAGACACGCCCGGAAACGAGAGGAUGCAUUGACUCUCGCGGCUAAAAUCGUACACUACACACCAUCUCUCUGUAGGAGUAGGUCGAUCUGUCGCACUCUCUAACACACACAUGCUAUUAAACACGCACACGCACACGCACGCACAUUGGUCCCGUUGCACCUUCUAACGUGACUUAUUACACCUGGACGGAGGGAGUAGUAAGUAUACAAGAUACGGUGGCACACUGAUUUAAGUCGAAUACAAGUGCCCAAAAUUUGUGUGCAUGUUAUAAUAAGGAUUCACUUAAAAUAGUAUGUGAGCGGACUGAGGGAUCAAUUGGACAGUGCUCCCGAGCAGUAGCGAGAUGUGUGAGGUAAGAUACACCGCUGGCACUUUUAUUUUUUCUUAUUAAUUUGUUUGUUUCACCCUCUGACUGGUGGGACCCAACGUACUACGUGGAGAAAGGUAAGGUGACUAAGGCUGCAUUAUUUCUGCACCACCGUGGAUAGUCUUACCACCAAAGCCACAAGACACGGUUAUGAUUGAAAUCCCAAUGACUCCCACACACACAAAAAAAACAUGGCAUGCUUGUCACACGAAUGCAGGAAUGUAUAAAAGGUUAUUUCCUCUCGUUGAACAUAACGGGAGGGUUGUGUAGCUGGUUAGCCUGUUCGCUCAUCAAACUUGAGGUCUCGGAUUCGAUAACUACACAUGAGCAUAAUUUUUGCCAAGAGGAUUCUUUGACUGGUCAAAAUGUUUUCUAGGGUUUGCAUGCUUCCCACUCUCUCUCCAGUAUAUAUAUACACGCUGGAGCCUCAGCACUUGUAGUUGCUCUCUUCAAACUCUCUCGCCCUCUCCCGCUGGAGCCUCAGCGCUUGUAGUUGCUCUCUUCACACUCUCUUGCCCUCUCCAGAUCUAAACAAGACUUCGUUGGCCUCUCUCUCCCCUCACUGCUGCUCAAAGAGCCGACAAGAUCCGUCCACCGGGAAGGGAAGGAGGCUUAACACUAUCGCCGUCGGCGAGGGAGGGAAUCCGCUACUUGCGCGACUGUUCACUUUCCACCCAGCGGCGGUGCGGGAGGGCCUCCGACCCCUUCUUCUUCGUCACCGUCCCGUCGCCCACCGAACCACGCCCCAAGAACCUUAAGGUAUUUUUUACUUACUCCACAUGCAUUGCUCUAGCUGCAUGUAUACCAUGAAUCUAGGACGUGGUUCAAAGAGGAAAGGAGUGGGGGAAAGUACUGGGAAAAGUUGUAUAUAGCAUGAAUCUAGGACAUGGUUCAAAGAGGAAAUGAAGGGGGAAAGUUGUAUAGCAUUAAUCUAGGACGUGGUUCAAAGAGGAAAGGUGUAAUGCCCCGGAUCCGAUGCGCCAGGUGUCUGCCAGUUAUUCACGGUUUUUGUCGUGUCAUUUGCUUGCGUUUAGCAUUUUAUCAUGUCAUCAUGUGCAUUUCAUUUUGCAUACGUGUUCGUUUCUUGCAUCCGAGCAUUUUCCCCGUUGUCCGUUUUGCAAUCCGGCACUUCUAUGCCCUUCGGCGUUCCCCUUUUGUCUCCUGUUGUGAGUGGGUGUUAAACUUUCUCGGAAUGGCCCGAGGUUUGCCAAGCGGCCUUGGUUUAGCACCGGUAUACCGCCUGUCAAGUUUCGUGCCAUUUGGAGUUCGUUUGAUACUCCAACGGUUAACCGGGUAAUCGUAAAAGCCUCCUUCUCUUUGCAGCCCAACACCCUUCCAAAGUGGCGCAAAACCCAUCUAACUCCUCUCCAUGCUGUCGGUCGUUCGAUCACGAUCGUGUGGGCGAAAACCGCUCCUCAUUUGGACUCUCCUAGCUCCCUAUGCCUAUAUAAACGUCCUCCCCGUCCAUUUUCGCGGAUCAAACCCUAGCAAACUCCUCCCCGCGCCGCCGGACAUGUCCAUCCGCGCCGGACAUGUCCGCCGGACACGUCGCUUCGACCAAUGGCGUCACGCCAUGUCACCCCACCGCGAAUCUCCUCCAACCGCCGGCCGCCACCUCACCCUCUCUCUCCUCCCUCCACCGCGCGGCCCGCGGGACCAGGAUCGGGCCCGGGCGAGCCCGCGCCGCCACCGCCGUCUGCCUCCCGGCCCUCGCCCCGGGCUCUGCCCCGUGCCUUCCGGCCCGCUCGCCGCUGCCGCCCUUCACCGCCUCACCGCCGGACUCCGUCACCGGCCGCCGCCACCAUCGCCGGCGCCCUGCGCCCAGCCCCAACCGCCGCCUCCUCGCCUCCGGCCGAGCGCUGCCCUGGUGCCCCCGCGUCNNNNNNNNNNNNNNNNNNNNNNNNNNNNNNNNNNNNNNNNNNNNNNNNNNNNNNNNNNNNNNNNNNNNNNNNNNNNNNNNNNNNNNNNNNNNNNNNNNNNNNNNNNNNNNNNNNNNNNNNNNNNNNNNNNNNNNNNNNNNNNNNNNNNNNNNNNNNNNNNNNNNNNNNNNNNNNNNNNNNNNNNNNNNNNNNNNNNNNNNNNNNNNNNNNNNNNNNNNNNNNNNNNNNNNNNNNNNNNNNNNNNNNNNNNNNNNNNNNNNNNNNNNNNNNNNNNNNNNNNNNNNNNNNNNNNNNNNNNNNNNNNNNNNNNNNNNNNNNNNNNNNNNNNNNNNNNNNNNNNNNNNNNNNNNNNNNNNNNNNNNNNNNNNNNNNNNNNNNNNNNNNNNNNNNNNNNNNNNNNNNNNNNNNNNNNNNNNNNNNNNNNNNNNNNNNNNNNNNNNNNNNNNNNNNNNNNNNNNNNNNNNNNNNNUCGCCCCGUCGCCCGCCUCUUCUCCGCCACCGGCCGGCCACCGCGCCACCCCGCAUCCCCGACUCCGGUCGCCGGACCGGCCCCGCCUCAGCUCGCUGGCCCACCCGACUCCAGCCAGAUCCGGCCAGGAAUGGGUGCCCCGCGACCGGAUCCGUCCUUCCCAGGCUUCCCCAACCUCUCCUCAAGCUCCGGCCACCUUAUACCUCAACUCCGGCGAUCCUCGAAAUCCGUGCAGCCCGAGGUUGACUUUUCCCCCUCCGAAAAUUCUGCUAAGUCCCCAAAGUUUUUGCAUUAUCAUGCCAUGUUCGACCUGCUGUAUCUCCAUGCAUGUAGCUCCAUUUUGUGUGUGUAAUAUGUAAAAUUGUUCAUCUCAACGAGUACAUCAUUUCAUUCCAUUGCAUCAUGUUCAUUUGAGUUCAUCUUGAUGCCUAAAUCAUUGUUGUAAGAGUGCUUCAUGAUGUUUUCUGCUGUCUGUUAACAGAACAUGCACUUUUGUCAUUUUUGCCAUGAUUGAUGUGUGCAUCCUAUGAGGUUGAUGUCUACAUGUGUUUUGAUCUAUGCCAUGUCUUCUUUACAUAGGUGCUUAUCAUGUAUUUUUGUGAUCAAUGUGGUGUCUACCACAAGCAUGCAAACUAGGGUUCGUAAUGUUGCUGAUUUUAGUCCCUGUUCUGCUGUUAUUUUGAUGCCAUGUAAACAUGAAGCUACAGAGUGAUCCAUGCAUAUUUUGAGAUACUUCAGUAAGGAUGUUUUGAACAUAUGAUUGUCCUCUAUCCAUUCAUGCCCCUUCUUGCAAUUAUGGAGUAGUCUAGCAUUUCAUUUUCGUGCUCUACUUUUGCUUCAAAAUAUUUCCUGGCAGAUUGUUUACAUGUUAUUCAAUUUUGCCAAGGUUGUUGUAGUUGAUCCUUGCACGCUAUGAACUUGUUCUUGCAUUGGUUUGUUUCGCAAACAUGUCUUCUUGAUGAUGCUAUGCUUAUCUUGUCAUGCAAUGAUUUGUGGUGAGUGAAUCGAGCUUGUUAAAUAGUGUACUUGCUGUUGCUGUUUUGCUAGGCUGAAUCUGUUAUUUCGUGAUGCUAUAUAAACAUGUUGCUACUAACCAUACUAUGCAUAAUCUGGAGAUGAUCACUAAAUGUGUUUUGUUCUACAUGUUAUGCUUUAUCCAUCCAUUCCCCUGGUUGCAUUUAUAUCUUGCUUUAACUUGUUGUAAUCUUGCUCCAAAGUUGCUUCAUAAUGUUGCUGUCAGCCUGUUAACUUUAAGUUCAGUUGUUGCCAUGUGUUUUCCUAGUGUUCCAUGCACCCUAUGGACUUGCUCUUGCCAUGCCUAGCUUCUUAAACAUGUCUUCUUACUGUUGGUUGCCUUGCCAUGCCAUGUACUGCUCUGUAGUGAGUUGCACAAGCUCAUCUACAUGCCUUCAUAAUUAUGUUCCUGCCAUGUUUGAAUCUGUAAUAUAACUUGCUAUGUUUACAUGGGUGCCAUCAUAUUUUCUGAUCCUUUUUGGCUUAUAGUCAGUAAAGGACUUUGGUUCUAUGAUUUUAGUAGAUUCAUGCCAUGCCUUUGUUUGCCAUGAUAAGUUCCUGUAACAUGUUGUUUGAUAGCUCUAAACAUUGCAACCUGAUGUUAUUUUCUGCAAAGUCUGAACUGUUAUUAUUUGCAAUCUUGCCAUGUGUGUUUGAGCAUGUUCUAGUGAUUUCUGGAGAUAGCUCAGUGUUCAUGUUUUGUAAUGCUUUACCUGUACAUCAUGCCCAUACCUUUUGUUUUCUUGUUGAGGUCCUGUAGCAUAUCGUUUUGAUGCUUGCAAUAUGCCUAGUUGCUGUUUUGGACAGCUUGUCCUUUAAACUUGUAUAGUGUGUGCGUGUUGAACCGUUGCUCCGUUUUGAGUGUGCUCUAUAUGAAACUUGCUUGAUUUUGCAUGUAGUUUCAUAUUAUCAUGUUGCAUCCAUGAUUUGAGGUGUUUUCUUGAUGUUUGUUUCCAUUUUGCAUCAAUGCCAUGUUUAACUUGUUUUGCUCAUAUCUUCUAGGCCGUAGCCCCGAACUAAAUGAACUUUAUAUGUAACUUGACUAGAAUCUCGUGUAGAUCAUCUUGGUGCAUUUUAACUUGUUGUUUAACAACUUGAACAUAAGGGUUAUUCAGAUCUGGACCAAUUUGGAAAUUUGCAUAAGGGUUAUAUGUUGUUUCCGGCCUCAUUUAACUUUGCUUUGAUGUGUUGCUCUUGUAUGCAUCAUCUCUUGCCAUGAGUAGCUUCAUGUAGCUUUGUCAUGCAUCAUGCCUUGCUCAUGUGUGGUGUGUUUACUAUGUUGUAUGCUUCUUCUCGAUAGUUUCAUUUCGUUGCGAUCGUGAGGACUCGUUCGUCUGCGCUUGGUUCGGCUUCAGCCGUUCGUCUUCUUCAUGGACUCGUUCUUCUUCCUUGCGGGAUUUCAGGCAAGAUGACCGCUACCCUGGAUCUCACUACUAUCAUUGCUAUGCUAGUUGCUUCGUUCUAUCGCUAUGCUGCGUUACCUAUCUUUUGCUCGUCAAGCCUCUCAUAUUGCCAUGAACCUCUAAUCUUUGACACCCUUCCUAGCAAACCGUUGUUUGGCUAUGUUACCGCUUUGCUCAGCCCUCUUAUAGCAUUGCUAGUUGCAGGUGAAGUUGAAGAUUGCUCCAUGGUGGACAGGAUUUUGGUUGGGAUAUCACAAUAUCUCUUAUAUUAUUAAUGCAUCUAUAUACUUGGUAAAGGUUGGAAGACUCGGCCUUAUUCCUGGUGUUUUGUUCCACUCUUGUCGCCCUAGUUUCUGUCAUACCGGUGUUAUGUUCCCGGAUUUUGCGUUCCUUACGCGGUCGGGUGAUUUAUGGGAGCCCCUUGACAGUUCGCUUUGAAUAAAACUCCUCCAGCAAUGCCCAACCUUGGUUUUACCAUUUGCCUCACCUAGCCCUUUUUCCCUUGGGAGUCGCGCUCUCGAGGGUCAUCUUUAUUUUACCCUCCCCCCCGGGCCAGUGCUUGUCUAAGUAUUGGUCCAAAUCGAGCGAUGUCCGGCGCCCCUGGGCAACCAGGGUCUAUGCUAACCCGUCGUCUUGCUCAUCCGGUGUGCCCUGAGAACGAGAUAUGUGCAGCUCCUAUCGGGAUUGUCGGUGCAUCGGGAGGUCUUGCUCGUCUUGUUUUACCAUUGUCGAAAUGUCUUGUAAACCGGGAUUCCGAGUCUGAUCGGGUCUUCUUGGGAGAAGGUUUAUCCUUCGUUGAUCGUGAGAGCUUAUCAUGGGCUAAGUUGGGACACCCCUGCAGGGUAUAAUCUUUCGAAAGCCGUGCCUACGGUUAUUGGCAGAUGGGAAUUUUUUAAUGUCCGGUUGUAGAUAACUUGACAUCAGAUCCGAAUUAAAACGCAUCGACCGCGUGUGUAGCCGUGAUGGUCUCUUUUCGGCGGAGUCCGGGAAGUGAACAUGGUUUCUGGGUUAUGUUUGCCGUAAGUAGGACUUCCGGAUCACUUCUUGAUCAUUGCUAGCUUCAGGACCAUUCUGCUUGCUCUCUUCUCGCUCUUAUUUGCGUAAGUUAGCCACCAUAUUUGCAUAGUCGCUGCUGCAACCUCACCACUUUACCCCUUCCUUUCCCUUUAAGCUUUGCUAGUCUUGAUACCCAUGGUAAUGGGAUUGCUGAGUCCUCGUAGCUCACAGAUUACUACAACAACAGUUGCAGGUACAGGUUUUGCGAUGAUCGUGACGCGAGAGCGAUGUUUGAUUGUCUGGAGUUCUUCUUCUGCUUCUUCUUUGAUCAGGGAUAGGUUCCAGGUCGGCAGCCUGGGCUAGCAGGGUGGAUGUUGUUUGAGUUUCUGUUUGUGUUUCAUCCGUAGUCGAAUGUUGAUCUUAUGUAUUGUGAUGUUGUAUUCGUGUUGCAUUGUAUGCCUUAUGUAUGUAUCCCCAUCUAUUAUGUAAUGUUGAUGUAAUGAUAUCCACCUUGCAAAAGCGUUUUAAUAUGCGGGUCUAUCCUUGGUGGGACCUUCGAGUUCCUUUUGGAUAGGGUCGCAUAUUGGGCCUGACAAGUUGGUAUCAGAGCCAGGACCGACCCUAGGAGCCCCCUUGAUUGAUCGUGUAGUUUGGCCGUUGUUGAGUCUAGAAUAAACUAUUUUCCGAGUCUAGUUAUAUCGGAGAGUAGGAAUUCUUUUUACUCUUCAGCCCCUUCGUUGCUCUGGUAAGGAAUCUUGACGUAGGUGUUUUGAAUUACUCCUCUUCCCCUUCAAAUUUUUCUUUAGGUUCACGCAGUUGGUUUUCCGAUUGUUGUUCCUCAGCUCUUUCAUCCUGUGCACUUCCGUCAAGUUGACUCGACCCUCUUCAUCUUUGCAAGUUCAAUCCUCAGUUGUUUUCUUUCCCACCCUCCCACCCUUCUUCUUCUCGGAACCGGAGUCCGUAAUCGAGUAUCCAUCCGACUCGUGCGAAGUUUUUUCUCUCUCUCCUCAAUGAUUUCAACCGGUGUUUUCUCUUCAAGAUAUUUGUCGAUAUUGUGACACUCCAAAAUUUUUACUUUGGUUUCAGCAAAAACAUUGUGGUUUUUGAAAAGAGGCCAUUUAAAAUUUUCCAGAAAAACCUUCCUCUUAAGAAACUUUCUUUUCUUUGGCAAGGUUUUUAUUCUGGCUUCAAACUUUGGUGUUUGACCUUUUGAAACUUCUACUCUGUUGGUUCUCUCUCAAAAGUAUUUUUGGGAGUUUAAUCUUUUUCCUUUAAAAAGAAACUCCAUGAAAAUUUGGGAUUUUCAUAUCUUGGAACCACCAUGACUUGGCAUUCUUGCCCAUGUGGUAAAACCCCUCCAAAACCUCCCCUACAACUUGUGAUCAACCUAAAUUCUCUGUCCCAACUAAUCCAAACUGGUUUUGGAUUUUUAUUCCAAUUAUUUUUCCCUCAAUUCAAUUCUGAAAAUUAUUUGGAGCCUGAGAGAUUUUCAAAGCAAGUGCCCUAUUGCAUUUGAGUUUUGACCUCAAACCAAUUCUCCUGGAUUGUCCUUUGAACCCACAACCCAGAACCAUCUUGAUCCACUCCUCCUCUUUUCAAAUUUUUCAAAAUUCAGUCUCUGCAAGUUUGGACCAGAUUUGCCAAAUUUGGUGAAAUUCAUAUCUACACUCCUCCAAAAAUUCCACCAAAAUUCAGGCAGCCUAUUUGAGCAAGGAGAAGCCACUCCACCAAAAAUCAGCUCAAGGAAAAAUCACCAGAGGGCAAUUUCAUUCGGUCGAACACCUGGUGGGCACUGUUACUGUUCAUAGUUCAGAAAAUUCAGUUUUCAGUGUCAUCUUCAGUCCGUCAGUUUCAGUCACGCGGCCACAAUGCCCUUGGCACGUUCCUCGCCGCCUCUUCCUCUUGUCCGAAGCUGCACACACGUGCGUGGAGCCUUCCUGGCGUCGGUAGCGCGCUGGCUCGCCCUCGCCGGCGUCUUCUGCGGCGUCGGGACCUCCCGUGGCGGCCGACAGGAGGCACACCACGGCAGAACGCCGUUCCGCGCCGCCCAUCGCUCCCUGGCUCUCCGCGUGGCCUCAUGCACGCCAGCGCACGCCCGUAGCACAGCCACCGUGGCCGGCAAGCACGUAACGCGCUCUCCGCCGCCGACGGGCCCGCACCAUCACCGUUCCGUCGAGCUCGCCCUUAACACCCAAACCCCGGCCAGUUCAACACCAAAACGGACCCGUUGGACCUCCGUGAUGAUGCUCGACCCCAUAACCACCCCGACCGAGCACGGAGAGGGGGGCACCCCUUAGAGCGCGCGUAUAUAAAUUUGAUCCCAUGCUAUUCGAGAUUGUCAUCUCCCCGUCUCAAAAGUUUUUCUUGGACGAUGACUAGGGUGAUUCCUAGCAUCGAGAGGUAGGAUGGGUGUGUACCGGUUAGCUGUGUUUUCUUCUGAAAUACCGUAAACGGAACUAGUCCUUCGUGACUACGGAAAUCCGUUGACUGUGGGAAAAAUUUUGUACAAACUCUGCAGAGUCAUAUAUUCCUCCAAAUCAUCUCUUCCAUGUCAAGUUUCGUUCCUUCUUAUCCUAAUCAAUUGUCAGCUUUGAUGACAGAGACUCCAGUGAAUCGCAUGAGUGCUAAGUCCGGUUAAAUGAUCACUCCUGUGGAUGGACUAACCUGUUUGUUUCAUGAAUUGAAUGUUUAUUAUGAGUAUUAUUUACUUGUGAAUAAAAGCCCUUUAUGUGAUGUCGCUCAGACGUCCGACUGUGGCAUUUCUUUUUAAAGCCCUUUCUGCGAUGUCGCUCAGAUGUCCGACUGUGGCAUUUCUUUUAAAGCCCUUUCUGCGAUGUCGCUCAGACGUCCGACUGUGGCAUUUCUUUUUAAAGCCCUUUAUGUGAUGUNNNNNNNNNNNNNNNNNNNNNNNNNNNNNNNNNNNNNNNNNNNNNNNNNNNNNNNNNNNNNNNNNNNNNNNNNNNNNNNNNNNNNNNNNNNNNNNNNNNNNNNNNNNNNNNNNNNNNNNNNNNNNNNNNNNNNNNNNNNNNNNNNNNNNNNNNNNNNNNNNNNNNNNNNNNNNNNNNNNNNNNNNNNNNNNNNNNNNNNNNNNNNNNNNNNNNNNNNNNNNNNNNNNNNNNNNNNNNNNNNNNNNNNNNNNNNNNNNNNNNNNNNNCAGACGUCCGACUAUGGCAUUUCUUUUAAAGCCCUUUAUGUGAUGUCGCUCAGACGUCCGACUGUGGCAUUUCUUUUUUAAUGCCCUUUCUGCGAUGUCGCUCAGACGUCCGACUGUGGCAUUUCUUUUAAAGCCCUUUAUGUGGUGUCGCUAAGAUGCCCGACUGUGGCAUCAUUUUCCUUAUUUUUAUUUGUCCACCUUUCGAGGCGUCACUUCAGACACCCGAUCGGUCCUUAUUUAUGUUCUGUGGAAUUUCAGGCGGACUACCGCCGUUUUCCCUUUUUACUUACUCGUUAUGCCAGUUUUAUUUAUUGUGCAUUAAGGAAUUAAUCAUGUUGCAUCCAUGCAUGCAUUUGUUAUAUCUUACGUCCGAACUGUCUUGCGAGUACUUUCAAAGUACUCACUGGCUUGUUGAUUUGGCGAGAUGCUGACGAAGGCGAUCUCAUGGAUGAAGAGUUCGAUAGCGAGCCCGACACUUAGAGGAGUCCCAGUCAGUCUUGUGCGACCCUGGAUUUGGCCACUGAUUUAUAUCCGCUUCCGCUACCAAAUAAAUUCAUCGAGCCUCUCCUCGACGCUCGAUGAGAUGACAGACGUAGAGUCUUGUAUUUCUCUCCCCGCUGUGUUUUUCCACCCCAGCCUAUCCUUGAGACAGUAGUAUGUCUCCACACCACUGUGUUCUGUCAGCCAUUAUGUAUGAUUAUUGGCGUGCUUGUAAUAAUUUGGUUGAGCAACCGUAGUUCGACCCUGUAAUAUAUUUUAUGCUACUGGCUUAUUGUAUCAAGAAUUUUUCUGCCAGUGUGGAGGAUUUCUCUCAUACUGGACUUAAAAGAUUGGCUUUUCAAUAAAUAUUUUUAUUGGAAAACCGGUCGUGACAAGCUUGGUACCAGAGCCAGGAUGACUGUAGGAAGCCACUAGGUGCGAUCGCUAAUUGGUUAUUAGCCUGAUAGAGCUAAUUUUUAGUUUUGCAAUGGUAGUCAUUUUCUGUCAGUCAGCAUAAAUUUAUGAUCUGACCCUGCAGAAUUUUGCCUACUUUUGUAGAUGGCCGACGUCAGCUGCGAGUCUCAGACCUUCGCCAACGUACCCGAUGGGUUCGUCAAGCUUCUUUCUUCCAUCGUUCAGGUCGCGAUGGGGCCAUCCGUGCGCCCAGUCUUCACACUCUACCAGCAUCGAGUCAACGACAGUCUGACCAUGCACCAGGCCACGGUGCAGUUCAGGGGAGGGCGUGGUGAGUUACGCCGCUUCCGGUUCGUGGGAAGAUCCAUGCCUACGGAGAGGCAUGCUAUGCAGAUGGCAGCCCGCGUGGCGAUAGCUCGUCUCAGGGAUGUCCUUCCCGUGAUGAAGACUCGUCGUUACCGUUAUCUUCCGUGCCAUGUGCCUUACACCUGUCACUACGCAUACUCCUGCCCCAGAGGGGAACGAGACGAGGCUUUUGAGAUGCUCAUUGAGUAUCUCCGGGCCCUGGAGGCAGCCUUCGACAACCUGGUGGACGACUUCGUAGCUACCCGCAUGGACUCAGUCCAUGGCUGUGCUGCCAAUAGGAGGGAGCUCCUACCCAUCGCUUCGCCACCGACUUUUGUCUCGUCAUCAGCAUCUUUUACGCCUACUCGUCGCCUGCCUUCUACCGAAGAAUUUAACCAAGUCAUUGCACCCACUCCAGCGCGCACUACACCAACCUUCGCGCCCACUCCUGUACGUGUUGCUCCGCCCCUGGCAACCGCUCCGCCCGCUCUGCGCAACACUACACGUAUGCAGCCCAUUAGCGAGGAGGAGGUCGAGUCCCCAACCUCGCUACGCCUCGCCCUCGGUAGGGCAAGGGAGGUCGUCAACAUUUCUGCCUGAGUACGCUUAGCUGCCGUGUGUUGUACCGCUUUGUAAGAUAUGUGCAUAGGCUGGGAGAAGUAGCCUGUUUUCGCAUCAUGUAGGAUCUGGAGAAGUGCACUAGCCUUAAUAACAUGUCAGGAUUAGGUACGCAUAUCCUGAGUGAUGUACUGUAUAAUUACCGCCCGCGUGUAAGAUGUGUAAUGAGCAGUCCUUCUCCGUGUGCAAGUCGUUUUAUUUUAAGCUGAGUUAUUUAAUUCUAUUUGCCAGCCUUAUGUAUUUUAUGGAUUUGUUUUUGCGACUCUUUCCGCUUUUCUUAUGGGUUUUACAAAAUAUAUCCCCAGAGUGAAAAAUGUCUCGUCCUUGGACUCGCUCCAUGCCAAUUCCAUCAGAGGAAAAUUAUGAUGCACAACCCAGCAACGAGUUCACUCAGGGACAGUCAAGCCAACCGGGAAAUGAAUCGGCACUUUCACAAAUGUGCCGCCUUUAUGAACAGAGUCAGCAACAACAUCGUGAAAUAAUGAACCAAGUCAUCAACAUGGGAAAUCACCAUGGACAGUAUCAGCAACAUUCCAAGUUAUCUGAGCUACAGAAGACACGUCCUCAAUCAUUUUCUCACACUGACAAGCCUCUUGAAGCCGAGGACUGGCUUCGAGAUAUGGAGAGGAAAUUAAUUAUUGCAAAGUGUUCAGAUCUCGAGAAAGUACUAUAUGCUCCACACUAUCUCACAGGAGCAGCCGCAUCGUGGUGGGGGAAUUUUCUGCACAUGCAUCCCAACGAAAAUGACAUAACCUGGGAUGAUUUCAAGGAAGGUUUCCGUGGUGCACAUAUUCCAAAGAGUAUUAUGAAAAUCAAGAAGAGAGAAUUUGAUGACCUCAAACAAAGGAACAUGACAGUGUCAGAUUACAACAGUCAAUUUACCCUAUUAUCCCGCUACGCCAAUGAGGAGCGUAUGACUGAAAUUAAGAAGAUGGUGAAAUUCCUUGACGGUCUGGCGCCCGCACUUAAAUGCCAACUGGUCGUGCACACUUUUCCUGAUUUUAAAACGCUGGUGGACAAGGCCAUUACUCUGGAAAAUGAGAGACGCAGUCUGGAAGAUAUCCGCAAGCGAAAAAGGGACCAGACUAACCACACUCGCAAUCAUCGAAGCAAGAUAGAUUUUAAAAAGGGUGGGACACCCAAAUUCUCAUCCAAUGUCUCACGCCCAAUCAAGAAUUUUCAUGCAAGGGACAAGGAAUUCACCUAUCGCCCCGGCGUUACUUGUUACGCUUGUGGAGAAGAAGGGCACUAUGCCAAACAGUGCCCCAAGCCAAGGAAUUCAACCCCAAAGCCGAACAAUGGCGGCAAUAAUUCAGCGCCCAAACGAAACAAUUUCAAUCCCAACAAUAACCACAGGAAGGGUCAUCUGAACCACGUAACCAAAGAGGAGGCACAAAAUGCUUCGGAUAUCGUACUCGGUACGUUUCCUGUCAAUACAAUACCUGCAAUGGUUUUGUUUGAUUCUGGAGCUUCUCACUCUUUCAUCUCGAAAAGUUUUGCUUUGCAAAAUAAUUUUUCGAUGCUUCCUUUCGAGAAAUCCGUAAUAAUCAAGUUCCCCAGGAUUCAGCAAGUUUCUCAGAAAUUCCUGUCAGAAUGUGGUCAUUGAGUUUGAAGGAUUGGAGUUUUACGCAAAUCUUAUUGUAUUGGAAAAUAAAGGACUGGAUGUCAUCCUAGGGAUGGAUUGGCUAACCACCAAUAAAGGUUUUAUAGACUGUUUCAACAGGACCGUGAUUCUCACACACCACCAAGGGAAGACAAUAAGAGUAUCAGCCAAGGAAGGAAAAAGACCCCGGCAACCGAGGUUAAAUAAGGUGGACGUUUCUGAGCUAAACAAGGUUCCAGUAGUGUGUGAAUUUCCAGAUGUAUUCCCUGAAGAGCUGCCAGGCAUGCCACCAGAUCGAGAAAUAGAAUUCCGCAUUGAGCUAGCACCAGGAACCACCCCCAUAUACAAGAAACCAUACAGAAUGGCACCAUCCGAGUUGAUCGAAUUGAAGAAGCAGAUAAAGGAAUUACUGGAUAAAGGGUACAUUUGGGCCAGCUCCUCACCUUGGGGAUCACCAAUUUUAUUUACCAAGAAGAAGGAUGGGACGCUAAGAUUGUGUAUCGACUAUCGAGCACUUAACAUGGUCACAGUCAAAAACAAAUACCCGAUGCCAAGGAUAAAUGAUUUGUUUGAUCAACUUGCUCAGGCCAAGGUAUUCUUAAAGAUUGACUUAAGGUCAGGAUACCAUCAAUUGAAGGUACGAACGGAAGAUAUCCCCAAAACAGCCUUCACCUCCAGAUAUGGACUGUACGAGUUCACAGUGAUGCCAUUUGGAUUAACUAACGCCCCGGCAUAUUUUGUUCACCUCAUGAACAAAGUAUUUAUGAAGUUUAUGGACAAAUUCGUCGUAAUAUUCAUUGACGAUAUUCUGGUAUACUCCAAAACACCAGAAGAGCACGCAGAACAUCUCAGGAUUGUACUAGGAGAGCUAAGGAAACACCAAUUGUAUGCCAAGUUCAGCAAGUGCGAAUUUUGGCUAAGACAAGUGGGUUUUCUAGGCCACGUGCUGACUCAAGACGGUAUAGCAGUGGACCCAGAGAAAGUCAAGGCCGUACUUGACUGGAAGUCACCAGCCAGCGUAACAGACAUACGAAGUUUCUUGGGAAUGGCAGGGUAUUACCGCAGAUUUAUUGAAGGAUUUUCCACCAUAUCCAAGCCUAUGACACAGUUACUCAAGAAAGAUAAGAAGUUUGAAUGGACAGAAGCCUGCGAGAAAAGUUUCCAAGAGCUAAAGCGGAAAUUAACAAUAGCACCAGUAUUAAUUGUACCCGAUAUACACAAGAAUUUUGAAGUAUUUUGUGACGCAUCCAGAAAGGGUCUCGGAUGCGUGUUGAUGCAAGAAGGCAAGGUUGUCGCCUACGCUUCAAGGCAACUUCGCAAACACGAGGAAAAUUAUCCCACUCAUGAUUUAGAAAUGGCAGCAGUUAUUCAUGCACUCAAGGAAUGGAGGCAUUUUCUACUUGGGAAUCGAUGUGAGAUAUAUACGGAUCACAAAAGCCUCAAAUACAUUUUUACGCAGCCAGAACUAAAUUUACGGCAACGCCGCUGGUUAGAAUUGGUAAAGGAUUAUGAUGUUGGUAUCCAUUACCAUCCAGGGAAAGCAAACGUAGUGGCCGAUGCCCUGAGUCGGAACCCCAGCUCCGACGGGAACUAUCUGCACAGCUUGAGGCCCGAAUUCCAUCAAGAAUUUGUCAAGCUCAAUUUGAUAAUGGUAGCAGAAGGCACCAUAUCAAACUUGGAAAUACAACCACACCUUGUGGAGAAAAUUAAAGAGGCUCAGUCCGGUCACCCCAGCAUUGAAGGAAUUAAAAGGAUGUUGAGUAUGGGCAAGGCGUCGGAAUUCGUCAUAGACAACGAAGGAAUAUUAUGGUACGGAGAAAGGCUAUGCGUGCCAAACAUAGAAGACCUUAAACAGCAAGUUUUAACUGAAGCACGCACCACUCCAUAUUCGAUCCACCCUGGAGGAACCAAAAUGUAUAAGGAUAUUCAGGAAAGAUUUUGGUGGCACGGUAUGAAAAGGGACAUAGCCGCUUUCAUUGCAUGCUGCGACUCGUGUCAACGCAUAAAAGCUGAACAUCAGAGACCAGCCGGACUACUGCAACCUAACAAAAUACCUGAGUGGAAAUGGGAUGAAAUAGGGAUGGAUUUUAUUGUCGGAUUACCUCGGUCACGACACGGGAAUGAUGCCAUAUGGGUCAUCACUGAGAGGUUGACCAAAGUAGCACACUUUAUUCCAGUAAAGACAACCUACACCACUCAGAGGCUUGCCAGGAUUUAUCUUUCCCGCAUAGUCUGUCUGCACGGUGUCCCGAAGACUAUAAUUUCCGACAGAGGCACUCAGUUCGUCUCAAGAUUUUGGGAGCAAUUACAACAGGCUCUGGGAACCCAACUAGCCUUCAGUACCGCAUACCAUCCUCAGACUGAUGGACAAACAGAACGCGUAAACCAAGUUUUAGAAGACAUGCUGAGAGCAUGUGUCCUCACCUAUGGAACCAGUUGGGAGGACAGCUUGCCAUAUGCCGAGUUCGCAUACAACAACAGUUACCAGGCCAGCCUGCAAAUGGCUCCUUUCGAAGCCCUAUACGGAAGGAGAUGUCGUACCCCGUUAAAUUGGUCAGAGACCGGAGACAGCCGCAUCUUCGGACCAGAUAUGCUCAGAGAAGCCGAGGAAAAAGUCAAGCUAAUCAGGGACCGACUUAAGACCGCUCAAAGUCGACAGAAAAGUUCUUAUGAUCAGAAACAUCGUAGGGUCAGCUUCGAACCCGGUGAAUUUGUAUACUUGAGAGUAUCCCCGAUGAGAGGAUUGCAACGGUUUAAGAUUAAAGGAAAAUUAGCACCAAGAUUCAUUGGACCAUUUUGCAUAGUGGCACGAAGAGGCACUGUAGCCUACCAACUAGACUUACCCGAAGACUUGUCCGACAUUCACGACGUGUUCCACGUCUCUCAAUUAAGGAAGUGCGUAAGCAACCCAGAGAAACAAGUAUCUCAUGAGAACAUUGACAUACAGGCAGACCUCACUUAUCGAGAACGUCCCAUAAGAAUAUUAGAGGAGUCUGAAAGGAGGACCCGACAGAAAACCAUCAAGUUUUUCAAAGUCCAGUGGAGCAAUCACACCGACAGUGAAGCAACCUGGGAAAGCGAGGAUUUUCUUCGGACAGAGCAUCCACACUUAUUUAAGGAUCAGCUGAAAUCUCGGGGACGAGAUUUUUCCUAAGGGGGUAGGUGUUGUGACACUCCAAAAAUUUUACUUUGGUUUCAGCAAAAACUUUGUGGUUUUUGAAAAGAGGCCAUUUAAAAUUUUCCAGAAAAACCUUCCUCUUAAGAAACUUUCUUUUCUUUGGCAAGGUUUUUAUUCUGGCUUCAAACUUUGGUGUUUGACCUUUUUAAACUUCUUCUCUGUUGGUUCUCUCUCAAAAGUAUUUUUGGGAGUUUAAUCUUUUUCCUUUAAAAAGAAACUCCAUGAAAAUUUGGGAUUUUCAUAUCUUGGAACCACCAUGACUUGGCAUUCUUGCCCAUGUGGUAAAACCCCUCCAAAACCUCCCCUACAACUUGUGAUCAACCUAAAUUCUCUGUCCCAACUAAUCCAAACUGGUUUUGGAUUUUUAUUCCAAUUAUUUUUCCCUCAAUUCAAUUCUGAAAAUUAUUUGGAGCCUGAGAGAUUUUCAAAGCAAGUGCCCUAUUGCAUUUGAGUUUUGACCUCAAACCAAUUCUCCUGGAUUGUCCUUUGAACCCACAACCCAGAACCAUCUUGAUCCACUCCUCCUCUUUUCAAAUUUUUCAAAAUUCAGUCUCUGCAAGUUUGGACCAGAUUUGCCAAAUUUGGUGAAAUUCAUAUCUACACUCCUCCAAAAAUUCCACCAAAAUUCAGGCAGCCUAUUUGAGCAAGGAGAAGCCACUCCACCAAAAUUCAGCUCAAGGAAAAAUCACCAGAGGCCAAUUUCAUUCGGUCGAACACCUGGUGGGCACUGUUACUGUUCAUAGUUCAGAAAAUUCAGUUUUCAGUGUCAUCUUCGGUCCGUCAGUUUCAGUCACGCGGCCACAGUGCCCUUGGCACGUUCCUCGCUGCCUCUUCCUCUUGUCCGAAGCUGCACACGCGUGCGUGGAGCCUUCCUGGCAUCGGUAGCGCGCUGGCUCGCCCUCGCCGGCGUCUUCUGCGGCGUCGGGACCUCCCGUGGCGGCCGACAGGAGACACACCACGGCAGAACGCCGUUCCGCACCGCCCAUCGCUCCCUGGCUCUCCGCGUGGCCUCAUGCACGCCAGCGCACGCCCGUAGCAUAGCCACCGUGGCCGGCAAGCACGGAACGCGCUCUCCGCCGCCGACGGGCCCGCACCAUCACCGUUCCGUCGAGCUCGCCCUUAACACCCAAACCCCGGCCAGUUCAACACCAAAACGGACCCGUUGGACCUCCGUGAUGAUGCUCGACCCCAUAACCACCCCGACCGAGCACUGUGCCACCGUAAUCACUCGCCGGUGAUCCUCGUUCACGGCAACCGCCUCGGACCGCCUAUAUAACGGGGUCCCGAGCUCACUCUCGUGCACGCAGCACCUCCACUACUCACCAACACCCCGCCAGGCCACUAGGGGGACCUCGAGGAGGUCUCCUCCCCCAGCUCCGGCCGCCUCGCCCCGCCUCGGCCUCCAGCUCGAUUCACUUCGGUGAGGCCACCUCCGGCGCCCAAACCUCGUCCGUAGCCCUCUCUUGCACCCAGUAGUCUAACCCCCACCUCAAUUUAAUCUUUGCAGCCCUCUCCGACGUGCUCCAUCCACGCCCGAACCACCGUCCGCCGGAGUUGAGACCGCCGUCGACGUGCUGCUCACCGGCGACCAACACCACCACCCACCGUUGCGGAAGGAAACGGUGAGCACAUUGGUAACCUCUGAUCCCCAUGCCUCGCCGUGGAUCGCCGCCGGCGACCACAGCAGCUCUCGGGCGCCGACGAGCCUCGUCCCUCCCAUUUGAAGAUUUAAACAUGACAAGUGGGACCCGCUGUCAGCCUCUCUGUUCUGUCUAAACGAAGCGUUAUCUGAAAACGCCUUCUGCCAAAUACGUUUUCUCUUCGGGCUGGCGUAAUCGCUACCGAAGUGUUUUCUGCUUUUAUAAACUAGCCCCUGGAAAUCUUCUGUUUCAUUACAGAUAAGUCCCUGGACAAAAACCCUUAUAACUUUUAAUCAGAAAAGUAUUUUUGAUUGAUUCUUUUUCUGUUCUCUGUAAAAUUUUGUCUAGUUUUUUUAUCAGAUUUAUUUGAAAAAUAUUUGGUUUACCUUCUGUGCUCUCCUUGGUAUUUACGUUAGCGCAUAUAUCUUCUUUAAACGUAGAUACCGAAGGAGGUGACGGAGCCGCGAACUUCACCGAGCUAGGCUCCGACUACUUUGAACCAGGCAAGCAUGUUUGAACUUUUGAUAUGAUGAGUGUCUUGGCAUGUUUUGCAUUUAGUUAGUUUCAUGGCAUGCCGGUGAGUAUACCGAUGAACGUUAUUUUAUGUGAUAAUGAGGUAAGUGAGUUCGAUGAUCCAUACGUGGAUGAAUGUGAAUAUGAAUGGCCAUGUGUUGGCAUGAGGAUGGGUACGACGACAGUGUUGUAGCAUGCCAGUCUUACGCCAGACUAUGUGACUUCAGUGUCAAACCAUAUCGGUCCAGUACCUAUCAUUUCCUUCCUUGUACUACCACAUGUUUUCCGCAAGGAAUAUGGUUUAGUAAGUUCCAAACCGCUUUCAUGGUACACACCAAAGAGGAGAGGCCGUGAUGAUGGUUCCAUGGCCCUGGAUUAAAGCCAGUCAUCCGGUCAGGGGGCAUGGGUGUUUCCGGUUGGGACNNNNNNNNNNNNNNNNNNNNNNNNNNNNNNNNNNNNNNNNNNNNNNNNNNNNNNNNNNNNNNNNNNNNNNNNNNNNNNNNNNNNNNNNNNNNNNNNNNNNNNNNNNNNNNNNNNNNNNNNNNNNNNNNNNNNNNNNNNNNNNNNNNNNNNNNNNNNNNNNNNNNNNNNNNNNNNNNNNNNNNNNNNNNNNNNNNNNNNNNNNNNNNNNNNNNNNNNNNNNNNNNNNNNNNNNNNNNNNNNNNNNNNNNNNNNNNNNNNNNNNNNNNNNNNNNNNNNNNNNNNNNNNNNNNNNNNNNNNNNNNNNNNNNNNNNNNNNNNNNNNNNNNNNNNNNNNNNNNNNNNNNNNNNNNNNNNNNNNNNNNNNNNNNNNNNNNNNNNNNNNNNNNNNNNNNNNNNNNNNNNNNNNNNNNNNNNNNNNNNNNNNNNNNNNNNNNNNNNNNNNNNNNNNNNNNNNNNNNNNNNNNNNNNNNNNNNNNNNNNNNNNNNNNNNNNNNNNNNNNNNNNNNNNNNNNNNNNNNNNNNNNNNNNNNNNNNNNNNNNNNNNNNNNNNNNNNNNNNNNNNNNNNNNNNNNNNNNNNNNNNNNNNNNNNNNNNNNNNNNNNNNNNNNNNNNNNNNAUGUGAUGUCGCUCAGACGUCCGACUGUGGCAUUUAUUUUAAAGCCCUUUAUGUGAUGUCGCUCAGACGUCCGACUGUGGCAUUUCUUUUUUAAAGCCCUUUCUGCGAUGUCGCUCAGACGUCCGACUGUGGCAUUUCUUUUAAAGCCCUUUAUGUGGUGUCGCUAAGAUGCCCGACUGUGGCAUCAUUUUCCUUAUUUUUAUUUGUCCACCUUUCGAGGCGUCGCUUCAGACACCCGAUCGGUCCUUAUUUAUGUUCUGUGGAAUUUCAGGCGGACUACCGCCGUUUUCCCUUUUUACUUACUCGUUAUGCCAGUUUUAUUUAUUGUGCAUUAAGGAAUUAAUCAUGUUGCAUCCAUGCAUGCAUUUGUUAUAUCUUAUGUCCGAACUGUCUUGCGAGUACUUUCAAAGUACUCACUGGCUUGUUGAUUUGGCCAGAUGCUGACGAAGGCGAUCUCAUGGAUGAAGAGUUCGAUAGCGAGCCCGACACUUAGAGGAGUCCCAGUCAGUCUUGUGCGACCCUGGAUUUGGCCACUGUUUUAUAUCCGCUUCCGCUACCAAAUAAAUUCAUCGAGCCUCUCCUCGACGCUCGAUGAGAUGACAGACGUAGAGUCUUGUAUUUCUCUCCCCGCUGUGUUUUUCCACCCCAGCCUAUCCUUGAGUCAGUAGUAUGUCUCCACACCACUGUGUUCUGUCAGCCAUUAUGUAUGAUUAUUGGCGUGCUUGUAAUAAUUUGGUUGAGCAACCGUAGUUCGACCCUGUAAUAUAUUUUAUGCUACUGGCUUAUUGUAUCAAGAAUUUUUCUGCCAGUGUGGAGGAUUUCUCUCAUACUGGACUUAAAAGAUUGGCUUUUCAAUAAAUAUUUUUAUUGGAAAACCGGUCGUGACAGAUAUCCCCUUCCAAGUUGCAUUUGUUUUCCCGCCCUCCCACCCUCUUUUUCCCGGAGCCUGAGUCUCUUUCGAACAUCAAUUUUCAUUCGUGUGGAGCCUCUUCAGUCUUCCAUCAAUCAUUUCAUCUGGUGAACUCUCGUAUUGUUCGUCAUUCUUCAUCUCUUUUUUCUUUCCGGUGGAUUCAAUUCAAGUUUUUCGGUGUUGAUUAUAUUUUUUCCCUCGGCUCAAGUGUCUUCCCUGCUCGUUCGUCUCUCGCCAGUUUCUCCUUCCGGAGUGGUCAAGACAUCUCAGGAGAUUUGUCUGUGUUUGAGUUAAUUCGUGGUUGUCAUCUCAUUCAAAUAUUUCAAUUGUUCCGGUGCAUCAUCUAUCUGUUCAACAUCCUUUUUCAACGGUGCUUUCUCUUCAGUGGGCCCUAACCCACAGGUUUUUUCCCAGGAUCUUACCUGACUCUUAUGAUUUCCCCGGAGUUAUUCUCAAAUUCUUUUCAAGCCUGACGUAAGUAUGAAUUUCAUCAGUCAGAUGCCUUUUCCAAGAUCGAUUUCAAAUCAUUUCAUUGUUGGCCUAACCUCUCUGCUUUUCAUUCUACCGGAGUAUCUCAGUAAUUUUGGUGGUGUUUCUUGUCAUCAUUUGAAGAUCGAAGAAGAGUUUUUCCUCUAAAUCUUGUCUGUUCUCUCGAAGAUUCGUGGUUUUAGCUUCAUGCUAUCCUUUCGAAUUAUUCCAUUCGUCAGUUAAUCUCUUUCUCAACCAUCCGGAGUAUGUCAGGAGUUGUUUUUCCAUUUCUUUUUACCGGAGGCCAUCAUUCCAGUUACCGUUCUCUAUUUUUCCCGGUGCUUCAUUCAAGUGUUUUUAAUCAGCUCAUGAUCUCUUUGUUCUUUUGCAUCUAAAUCCCCUCUAGCAUAUUUGUUCUUAUAAUUCUUCCCGGUGAUUCAUUCUCUUUCAUCAGCCAUUUUCGAAUUCUUACGGUGGUUAGUUCAAGAUUCGUUUUCUUUGAUUAUCAUAUUAAUUCAUUCGUUCUUUCAAUCUUACCGGUGGUUCAUGAAGACUUUCUCAAGUUUUGUGCUAUGUUCCCCCUUAAUCCUUUUUCAACGAGAAUAAGUAGUAUGCAAAAAUCCAUUGCUUGUCAUCAAUUUAAUUUGAUGAAGGAUAAGCAUACAAUAAAUCUUAUUCUUAUUUCAUCCAAGUGAGUAAUCCUUUCCUUCGGAGUUUGUUCUUCAUGAAUAAAUUCUAGUUCCAAGUGUUUUUCAUCUUUUCUUUUCCGGAGUUCAAAUUUCCUCAGCCUUUUCAUCGGAACCUCCAUCUAUAUCAUCGCAAGGCUCGUCUGAUUCUUUCAUCCUUCAUUCUAUCUCAUCAACUUUUUUGUCACUGGAGUUCUUCUUGGUGGUUCUUCAUGAUUUAAUUCAUUCCUCAAGAGUUCAUCAAGUAUCAUUCCAUCUGCUUAAGUUCGUGUUCUAUUCUUUCCUUGUUCAACCGGAGUGCUGUCUAAAUCCUUUCAGUCUUAUUCGUUUCUUAUGUCGUUCUAACCGGAGUGGUUUAUUAGUAUAUCUGAUUCCGUGAGCUUUCGAUUCUCGUCAUUCUCGCCGUUCCUCUCUUCUUCUCGAGUGCUCUCGAUUCUUUGCUUCUUCUCUUGAGUUCUUGUUUCACCUCAUCCCUUUUCCCUUCCGUCUCGGUCCUAAGAUCUCGGGACGAGAUCUCUUAUCAGUGGAGGAGUGUUGUAACGCCCCGGAUCCGAUGCGCUAGGUGUCUGCAAGUUAUUCGCCGUUGUUUCCAUGUCAUUUGCUUGCGUGUAGCAUUUUAUCAUGUCGUCAUGUGCAGUUCAUUUUGCAUACGUGUUCAUUUCUUGCAUCCGAGCAUUUUCCCCGUUGUCCGUUUUGCAAUCCGGCACUCCUAUGCCCUCCGGCGUUCCCCUUUUGUCUCCUGUUGUGAGUGGGUGUUAAACUUUCUCGGAAUGGCCCGAGGUUUGCCAAGCGUCCUUGGUUUAGCACCGGUAGACCGCCUGUCAAGUUUCGUGCCAUUUGCAGUUCGGUUGAUACUCCAACGGUUAACCGGGUAACCGUAAAAGCCUCCUUCUCUUUGCAGCCCAACACCCUUCCAAAGUGGCCCAAAACCCAUCUAACUCCCCUCCAUGCUCUUGGUCGUUCGAUCACGAUCGUGUGGGCGAAAACCGCUCCUCAUUUGGACUCUCAUAGCUCCCUAUGCCUAUAUAAACGUCCUCCCCAUCCAUUUUCGCGGAUCAAACCCUAGCAAACUCCUCCCCGCGCCGCCGGACAUGUCCAUCCGCGUCGGACAUGUCCGCCGGACAUGUCGCUUCGACCAAUGGCGUCGCGCCACGUCACCCCGCCGUCACUCUCCUCCAACCGCCGGCCGCCACCUCACCCUCUCUCUCCUCCCUCCACCAUGCGGCCCGCGGGACCCGGAUUGGGCCCACGCGAGCCCGCGCCGCCGCCGUCGUCCGCCUCCUGGCCCGUGCCCCGGGCUCUGCCCCGCACCUCCUGGCCCGCUCGCCACUGCCGCCCUUCGCCGCCUCGCCGCCGGACUCCAUCACCGGCCAGCGCCACCAUCGCCGGCGCCCUGCGCAUAGCCCCAACCGCCGCCUCCUCGCCUCCGGCCGAACGCUGCCCUGGCGCCCCCGCGUCGCCCCGUCGCCCGCCUCUUCUCCGCCACCGGCCGGCCACCGGCCACCCCGCGUCCCCGACUCCGGUCGCCGGACCGGCCCCGCCUCAGCUCGCCGCCCCACCCGACUCCUGCCAGAUCCGGCCGGGAAUGGGUGCCCCGCGGACGGACCCGUCCUUCACCGGCUAUGUUACCGCUUUGCUCAGCCCUCUUAUAGCGUUGCUAGUUGCAGGUGAAGUUGAAGAUUGCUCCAUGGUGGACUGGAUUUUGGUUGGGAUAACACAAUAUCUCUUAUAUUAUUAAUGCAUCUAUAUACUUGGUAAAGGUUGGAAGACUCGGCCUUAUGCCUGGUGUUUUGUUCCACUCUUGCCGCCCUAGUUUCUGUCAUACCGGUGUUAUGUUCCCGGAUUUUGCGUUCCUUACACGGUCGGAUGAUUUAUGGGACCCCCUUGACAGUUCGCUUUGAAGAAAACUCCUCUAGCAAGGCCCAACCUUGGUUUUACCAUUUGCCUCACCUAGCCCUUUUUCCCUUGGGAGUCGCGCUCUCGAGGGUCAUCUUUAUUUUACCCCCCCCCCCGGGCCAGUGCUUGUCUAAGUGUUAGUCCAAACCGAGCGAUGUCCAGCGCCCCCUGGGCAACCAGGGUCUAUGCCAACCCGUCGUCUUGCUCAUCCGGUGUGCCCUGAGAACGAGAUAUGUGCAGCUCCUAUCGGGAUUGUCGGCGCAUCGAGUGGUCUUAUUGGUCUUGUUUUACCAUUGUCGAAAUGUCUUGUAAACCGGGAUUUCGAGUCUGAUCGGGUCUUCCUGGGAGAAGGUUUAUCAUUCGUUGAUCGCGAGAGCUUAUCAUGGGCUAAGUUGGGACACCCCUGCAGGGUAUAAUCUUUCGAAAGCCAUGCCUGAGGUUAUUGGCAGAUGGUAAUUUGUUAAUGUCUGGUUGUAGAUAACUUGACAUCAGAUCCGAAUUAAAACGCAUCAACCACGUGUGUAGCCGUGAUGGUCUCUUUUGGGCGGAGUCCGGGAAGUGAACACGGUUUCUGGGUUAUGUUUGCCGUAAGUAGGAGUUCAGGAUCACUUCUUGAUCAUUGCUAGCUUCACGACCGUUCCGCUUGCUCUCUUCUCGCUCUUAUUUGCGUAAGUUAGCCACCAUAUUUGCUUAGUCGCUGCUGCAACCUCACCACUUUACCCCUUCCUUUCCCUUUAAGCUUUGCUAGUCUUGAUACCCAUGGUAAUGGGAUUGCUAAGUCCUCGUGGCUCAUAGAUUACUACAACAACAGUUGCAGGUACAGGUUUUGUGAUGAUCAUGAUGCGAGAGCGAUGUUUGAUUGUCUGGAGUUCAUCUUUUGCUUCUUCUUCGAUCAGGGAUAGGUUCCAGGUCGGUAGCCUGGGCUAGCAGGGUGGAUGUCGUUUGAGUUUCUGUUUGUGUUUCAUCCGUAGUCGGAUGUUGAUCUUAUGUAUUGUGAUGUUGUAUUCAUGUGGCAUUGUAUGCCUUAUGUAUGUAUCCCCAUCUAUUAUGUAAUGUUGAUGUAAUGAUAUCCACCUUGCAAAAGCGUUUCAAUAUGCGGGUCUAUCCUUGGUGGGACCUUCGAGUUCCUUUUGGAUAGGGUCACAUAUUGGGCGUGACAAAAGGAAUGGGGGAAAGUAGUGGGGAAAGUUGUAUCGCAUAAAUCUAGGACGUGGUUCAAAGAGGAAAGGAAGGGGCGAAAGUACUAGUUCCAAAAGGAAAGGAAGGGACAAGGCUGUAGAGUUUGAGCAGGACUAGAUUUGCUGCGCUCACAUAGGGAAAGGUGUCUAAAGAUAACAAAACUGGGACCAACAUAAAUAUGCUCCUUGGUUGUUUGUUCUUUGUUGCAACAGACCGUGCAUGACCAUAGUACAUCGGUAGAUGCACAUGGUGCUGGUGCGACCACUGUCCCAUGCAACUCAUUAGUUGUUGUUAAUCUAAGGCCCUGUUUGGUUAAGAACUCCCUAGUCCCGACCUGCUUGGUUCCAGGGACUAAACAUGGACUAGAGGUUAUUAAAUGACAUGCUAAAAGACCAUGUUACCCCUAGUAAUGAACUAAUAGAAACAAGGUGCAAUGCGUGGCAGGGGAAACUGUUGGAAAAAGUCCCAAAAGACUCACUCGGGGUCUUCUUUCUUUAGUCCCAAAUGCCCACUUUUAGUCCCUAAAAGUCCCUCCUGUUUUGUUUAGAUGGGACUGACACGGAGUUUUUUUAGUCCCUACACCAAAAUGUCCCUGUAAACAAACACCCUCUAAUAAUGUCGCUGGAAAAUUGAUGCAAUGCCACAGUUAAAAGAAAAUUACAUGUUUAACGAAUUUUAUUGUUAAUAUAAUCUCUAUGUUAAUAUUAAUCAAUGCCAGCGUUUGAGAAAUGCUACUAUCUUGCUUUCUUUCCCAUUUAGAUAAGGUAGAUGCUUCUUUUUGUUGGCUUCUGUGUCAUCCACUGUUAUUGACCACUAUUUGUUUCCUUUGCACCUCUGUGUAAACAUGGUUAUCUACUUCACCUCGUUGCCAUUGUGACCUUUUGCUGCACUGCACAAAACACUUUUGUUUUAAGAGUGUUUUGUGCAGUUCAACCAAAAUGUCACACCGAUAACGUUGCUUGAUUGCUUGAUCUUAGUGGAACUGCACAAGAGGAGAUCUUACUUCCUAUCCGUUAAGGCGAAUUUGGUUCAGAUCUUCUUCUUGUGAGUUGUUUGAAUUCUGCAUCAUGAGAGGUCAGUACUAGCCUUCUGCAGUGUGCUUUCAUAUGUUGUGCUACUUGUACGAUAAUGUUGCUUGAUUUUAGUGAACUGGGAAAAUGGAGACAAGACUUCCAAUCUGUAUAUGCACCGUAAUAUCCCAUUGAGGUAAGAUAAGGAUAUUUCACAACUGCUGGCCUAUAUUUUGCCACUUUCAUCAGAAAAUUGAGUUUACUACUAUACUUGUGCUCCCUAAUUGACGUGCCAAAUCUUACAUUGAAGGCGAAGCUCGUCUGUUAUUAAACCAAGUGAUGAAGCGGAAGAACAAGCGGAAUAAAAACAAAAAUCAACUCCCGGUGCUGUAAUGAAGCACUGGAACUGUGAUGACACAACUAAUGAUAUAGUUUUGCAUCUUAAUUUAUUGCUAUGGCUGGAACGAGCAAUUGUUUUGCCACUGAUUUGAUGCCAUAUGUAAUUAUCUCUAUGUGUGCAAAUAGGGAUCUUCUUUGAAGAUACCAUAUAUUUUAGUGGAACUGCACAAGAAGAUGUUGGAAACAUUAAACUAAUCAAGGAGUAUAUAGUAAGCAUGGCCACCCCCGUAGAUAGAAACAGGUGGUUCCGGAGAAGUGCUUCAUCUGUAUGCUCUACACAAUCAGCCUCCUGACAAAGGUUGGUACUUGCCCACUGAUUUCAUCCAUUUGAUUGAGCUUUGUCAUCUCUAUUGGUGUUGUGCUACUGUUUAGAUACUAUCAUGAAAAAGUGGUAUUGUCGUUGAGAAGUGCUUCAUCUAUGUUGUUUUAAAUAUUUCCUUUCCUUUUUUUCGAGCAAACAGGGAUGCUAGCAUUUAGUAGUCCUCUUUCCUUUGCACAACAAGAUCAUCUUCCUCUGAAGAAGAAUAUGGAGUACAUGAAGUGACUAGUUCCGAUUAUGCCAGGAUGAAGGAGCCCUGUCUAUCUUCUCAUCAGAAGGAGCGGUUGAAGGAUGGUUACAUUACUCCCCACAAGACCAAACUAACUUCAGCUUAGAAGGACUGAAAAAUCUCCAUUUUUUUGUUGUGAGGCGCGAGUACAAUGUUGUUCUAGGAUUCUUUCUAGUGAGUUCCAUUUUUCUAAAAGUGUGCUAUACAUGGACCAUGUAUGUGCCUGUUGAAACUGUCAAUUCAUAGUAUAGUUUGCUUUAUACUAAUCACUUUUUUGUAUUUGUCCAAACAGGGGUGCUCAGCUUGAUUUCAAUGCGAACUGCACAAAAUGUUCAUGAAUACAUCGAAUCAUUCAUUUCCACCACAAGAAAGGAGGUGCCCAUAAGUUCAAGGCAUUGCAACAUAUAAGGGCAAAAUCAUACAAGCUAUGAGCGAAUUUGGUUGAUUUUGGUGGAACUACACAAAAAGAACAACUGGUUUAUUUAGCACGAGGUUCCAUGUCAAUGUGCGAACUGAUGGCAAACCCUGCCCAUUGCACAAUCGUAGGCAUUUGAUAUUUUGGAAUGGGACAACCUUGUCAAAUUUUGCUCAUUUAUUUUAGCAAGAUAUGUGUUUGAUAUUUUCAAAUGCGACGCCCUUUGCUUUCAGCAGCGUGGAUCAAUUUUUUCUUUAUUCUUUAGUUGUGAAGUAAAUAUUGCAUCUGACAUGUGAGUCGCUGAGAUGCAUAAUCAUCGAUUGUUUUGAAUGUUCUCUAUGAAUUGCCAGGCCUUUGUGUUUGAUUGCAAUGUACAGAAACGCUAAAAAGCUGCUCAAACUCUUUGUACUCCUUCUGUUCCUUUUUACUUCGCACAUUGUGGAAGUGCAUACUUUUUUGUAUAAGAUUGGUCAAAGUAGAGAUACUUUGACUACAGACAAAACUUGCAUGCAGACUAGAAAGGUCCGAAGGGAGUACAUGUGAAACUGCUGCAAACGAGGUGAUCAUCGUAGUAGUACGUAUUGUUUUGCAUGUUCAUUCAAUGCUAGUGAUACAAGAAUUCGAACUAAUCAAAAUAAAUUCAUUCAUACACGGUCGGAUUUCAUAUAAACAUGUCGGAUUUCAAUACAUUUCAUACAUUCUUCAACCAAAAAGGGGUGCGCUAGAGGUAUAAUUAAUUAACUGAAGCUACCCACCUGUGUACCGCUGAGCCGAACAGAAGCUUCAGUGACUUAACUACAGGUGCGGUUGCGUAACUGACAUGUGGCCUGUUGGGCCAAUGUGUCAGUCAACCAACUGCACUAGCAAUUAAGUAGAAGCAACGUUCUUCUCCAGCGUAGCUCUACGACUCCACGUCGCCGCCAAUAAGCUAAUCGGACAUCAAUGGUCAACCUGCCUAGCUUGGCUUCAACCGGAGCGUAGCAGCGGUGGCCUUACUAGGACCCGAGCGGCGGCGACCUACCGUGUUCUACUCUUCCUCGUUUUCUGUGUGGCACGGCCUCGUUGGCAGCGGGGCGGGGCCUCGGCGGAGCCGGCGAUGUCCUCUGUCUCAUUGCCGGCGGGUGGUGCAUCAGCGGAGCGGUGGAAAUCCUCCCCCACGUUGCCGGCAGGGUGGGGCCUUGGCUGAGCCGGCAAUGUCCUCUGCCUCGCUGUUGGCGGGGCAGGGCCUCGGCGGAGCCGGCGGUGUCCUCUGCCUCGUUGUUCGCGCCGCGGGGCCUCAGCGGAGCAGGGCCUCAUCGAUGCCAGUGGAGCGGGGACUCGUCGGAGCCAGCAUUGUCCUCUGCCUCGUCCUCGGUCUCACCAAACAGCGCCUCGCCCGCUUCAUCGCCCUCUUUGCUAGCCUCUUUGUAGGCGGCCGCAGCCUCCGCCACCCGCAUGCGGUACUGCCAGCGCUCGAGGCGGCCCUUGCGGAUAGAGCGGUAUGAGUCGAGCAGCGCAUCCAGCUCCGCCCGCUCCGCGGCGAUCUGCUCCUCCGCUUGCAAGUGCUCCUGGAGGAGAUGGUGGUUGUAGGCGGCAUCGGCCUGCGCCUUCCGGAAGUACUCCUCACGCAUCUGCCUCACCCUGUCCAUAUAUUGGGCACGUGCCUCGCUGAUGGUCAUGGUGCAAUGCAUGGGCGAGGAUGGCGCAGACGAGGGGGUUGGCGCCGGAUCGUCGAAUACCAUGUUCUCCAUUGGGACAUCGUCAUCCACCGACUGCCUGCCGGCCAGCCGGUCGGCAACAAUGGCUGCCAUCUCCUUGUGGUCCAUCGUCCGCCCAUCCCGAAGAGCGCUGGAGCGCGAGGAAGCCAUGGUGGGCAGUAGUGGUGUGGACAGGAUAAAGGGAACGAAUGCGGAUGACUGCGGCUAUGGCCGGCGCAGCAGUUUAUAUAGCAAUGGUGGGCGGGCGGAGCGACGGACGUGUGGCGCCGGAGUAGCCGCCUCGGCAACCGCGUAUCAUUAAUGUGUGCGGCAGAUGGACGAACGGACGACAGUUGUGUCAUUUGAAGGCGGAGCAAUCGCCUGCACCGGGAAGCGGGUCGGCCGGCGUUGACUGUUUCGGUUGAAAAGUGUGCGCGGGCGAGGAGAUGACUUUACUUGGAGGAUGACAAUGGGGACCCACCAGGUCCAUAGCCUCACGUACGCAAGUGCCUCCUUAUUAUAUUAGCAAAAUAACUAUUCUGCACACCACUUCCGCACUGCAUGCUGAACGCAAGUGCACGUCAUUCUCUGAAUCAAGUGUGUUGAAGUACUCACACGAGUGAACUUCUCGUCGGAAAAAAACUGCACGCGUUAUUUUUUCGGUACUCUUUUCACUCUAAUUUUUUAACCGUUUAUCGGAAUGAGGCGUGCAAUAUACCGUUGAAAAGCUAUGGAUUAGGCGCAACUUCUACAUGUUGAACACUUUUCGAGAUUCCACACGGUUUAAGAGCAGUUUUGAAAAUGGUGCAGCGGAUGACGAGUGGCAGCGAGUGUUUUUUCACGUUUUUUUCAAACCGCUUGUUGGAAUGAAGCAAAUGAUACGCCAUUGGAUAGAUAUCGUCCAGGUGCAUCUUUUUCAUAUAUAAAUCUUUCUCUAAUUCGUUACGGUUUAAGAGCAGUUUCAAAUUUCCUAAAUCGCGGAAUUCUGUUUUUCAGGUUUUUUAAAAUUUUCGGUACUGUUUUCGCUCCAGUUUUUGAACCGUUUGUCGAAACAAGGCGUGUGAUACGCCGUUGAAAGCUACGAACGAGGCGCAACUUUCAUAUGUAGAACUUGUUUUCAGAUUCAUUACAAUUUUAAAUUAAUUUUGAAAAUGGUGCGGCUGCCGGCGAGUGACAGCGAACAUAUUUUCGUAAAUUUGUUCAUCGGAAUGAUGCAAAUGAUACGCCGUUGGAAAGAUAUCGACGAGGCGCAACUUUUUCAUGUAGAACACUCUGUCUAAUUCUUUAUGUUUUAACAGGAAUUUCGAAUUUACCGAAAUGCUGACACUCUGUUUUUCGCGACACCCAAAUCGACGUGGUACUUCAUCCGACUGAAAACCGCACUGCAACAGACGAAAAACAGCACUGCAUCACACGGGUAAGAGAACUGCAUGGUUUCUUUUAUUCAAACAUAAUUUUUUCAAGAACGAGAAAGUAGAGUGCACUUAACAUCGGGUGUAAAUGAACCACAACACUAUCAAGAAGUGAACCGCAUUACUUUUUUUCGCUUUCGUAACAAUUUUUUUGCAUUUACAGGAUGAACAACAUCAUACGACCGACCGCACUGCUUGAGACUGAAAACCGCACUGCAUCGGAUGGGCAAGCGAGCUGCAUAAUUUGUUUUGUCGGACGUAAAUUUUCUAAGACAAGACGGUGAACCGCAACACCAUCGAGAAGCGAACCGCGGCACUACCGAAAGUGAACCUCAUGAGUUAUUUUUUUGUCUUUUUUCAUACUUACUAUUUUUUUACGCACGUAGACCAAGCAAAUAGACCACAUGGACUGAGCGAGUGAGCUGUAUCUAAUAAGAAGUGAGCUACUUUUGAGAUGUUUUGGUUUCUAUUUAACUUCUUCUGUAAACUCGUCUCGACUACAUGAUCAAUGUGUGUGAGCUGCAUGAAUGGGGCAAGUAAACUGCAUUAAAAAUUACAUUUGCAUGAAAAGAAUGUUAUGUCCCACCAACAUUCUUUGAAUAAAUUAUCAAACAAGUUAACCGCACAAAACAAAAACAAAGUACUGCACAACCAAGCUAACAAAAUUGCACUAUCUACGGCCGCUGAUGAUCCUCAUAGACACAAUACAUCCAUUUGUAGGUUUACUCAGCCACACACACAUACAUACACACAAAAUCAACACUAGCACCUGGCAGAGCUGCAAUUGAGGAUCAACGGAACUGUAUUUGGGGACCAAGCGAGCCGCACUAGAUCAGAAACCUACAAAUAUAGCCAAAGAUGAAACUAGCUCACCAGCAAACUGAACUUCAAGUGAACAAUGAUGCUCUUUCUCUUUCUUACUGAGUGCACUUCAAAUUAUUUCCAGAAAAAUAAUACAGUAUAAAAAUUGAUGAACUACACACUGAAGCACCCGUUGACGAACUGCACAGCCACGACUUCAGCAAGAAUUUCCACUUCACAAUGAGCACCUCCUCG
rnacentral:lncRNA from 1 species